rnacentral:rRNA from 1 species
AGAAUGAACGCUGGCGGCAUGCCUAACACAUGCAAGUCGAACGAGACCUUCGGGUCUAGUGGCGCACGGGUGCGUAACGCGUGGGAAUCUGCCCUUGGGUUCGGAAUAACUCAGAGAAAUUUGAGCUAAUACCGGAUGAUGUCGAAAGACCAAAGAUUUAUCGCCCAGGGAUGAGCCCGCGUAGGAUUAGCUAGUUGGUGGGGUAAUGGCCUACCAAGGCAACGAUCAGUA